rnacentral:lncRNA from 1 species
GGAACAUAACUACGAGUUGUUUGCAGAGGAGGGUGAAGGAGCAACCGAGCGAGCGCUGCGUCGGGCGAGCAAACCUGAACAUUUCGGGAUAUUUCCCCCACCGCUCCCAACCUCCCGUUUAACUGGCGCGACUCCGUCCCACCCGCGCUGCUGCCCACGUCGGUGCCGCGCUGCUUGGCCCGCAAGGACGGCAGAAGGACGAAUCUGCUCCCUCGCGGCUCCGGCUGCAGCGGCCACGGAAGCGCCGCGAGUGGGCUGGCACCAUCCGACGGCCCCGCCGUGGCGGAACGGACUGCGGUGCCCGACCGCGCGGGUCCCGCCGGGGGAGAGCUCAGCCAAGGUGUGACAGAUGACAUGGGUUCAGCGUCUCGCAGGACACGCUCCCAGAGCCUCCCACACAGAUUCCCCGUCUCUUGGAAAGAACCCACGAUGAAUGUCCCUGUUUUAUCUGUUGCCGGUGACUUCAUGUGCCAGAAGGACACAGGCGGAGGAAGGAUAGUGUCACGGCCGGACCCAAUGCGCGCAGUGGGCAGCGGCUGUAAAAUACAUUCCUGAUGUUAAAAUGACAGCCUGGCUUGCACCGCACUGCAAAAUGGAUGGGUACAUUCAGGGACAACGUUGCAUCCUUCAUUUUUCAAGCCAUGUGGAAUUACUAACAUAUGUGAAAAUAACGUUUACUAGCCUAUGUGAAAAUUACCAUUUAUUUUGUGCUUUGAGAUGCUCCGGUCCCUCCCCGAUACCGAACA